rnacentral:rRNA from 1 species
CCUGAACGCUGGCGGCGUGGUUAAGACAUGCAAGUCGCACGGGAGUAGCAAUACUCUAGUGGCGAACGGGUGCGUAAUGCAUCGCUAACGUGCCCUCAGGACGGGGAUAGCCGGUCGAAAGGCCGGGUAAUACUCGGUAAGACCACGGGAAGGCAUCUUCCUGUGCUCAUAAGCCGCAAGGCGCCUGAGGAGCGGGCGAUGUCGUAUCAGGUAGUUGGUGAGGUAACGGCUCACCAAGCCGACGACGCGUAGCAGGACUGAGAGGUCGGCCUGCCACAUCGGGACUGAGACACUGCCCGGACUCCUACGGGGGGCUGCAGUAACGAAUCUUCGUCAAUGCACGAAAGUGUGAACGAGCGACGCCGCGUGGAGGUUAAGUCCUUCGGGAUGUAAACUCCUGUCAGGGGUAAGAAAGUUCUGAUCUACCCCAGAGGAAGUGGCGACUAACUCUGUGCCAGCAGUCGCGGUAAGACAGAGGCCACAAGCGUUAGGCAGAAUCACUGGGCUUAAAGCGUGUGUAGGCGGAUCGUUAAGUGUUCUGUGAAAUCCCACGGCUUAACCGUGGAACGGCAGGGCAAACUGGCGGUCUUGAGCCAUUCAGGGGCAGCUGGAACAGACGGUGGAGCGGUGAAAUGCGUAGAUAUCGUCUGGAACGCCAACGGUGAAGACAGGCUGCUGGGGAUGAGCUGACGCUGAGACACGAAAGCCAGGGGAGCAAACGGGAUUAGAUACCCCGGUAGUCCUGGCCCUAAACGAUGUCCACUGGAUCGUGGGCGGUUUGACGCCGCUCACGGUCGAAGCAGAAGUGCUAAGUGGACCGCCUGGGAAGUACGGUCGCAAGGCUA